UACGGGGGGAGCAAGCGUUGUUCGGAUUUACUGGGCGUAAAGGGCGCGUAGGCGGUCAGCACAAGUCAGUUGUGAAAUCUCCGGGCUUAACUCGGAAAGGUCAACUGAUACUGUGCGACUAGAGUGCAGAAGGGGCAACUGGAAUUCUCGGUGUAGCGGUGAAAUGCGCAGAUAUCGGGAGGAACACCAAUGGCGAAGGCAGCUCGCUGGGACGUGACUGACGCUGAGACGCGAAAAGCUAGGGGAGCGAACAGG
rnacentral:rRNA from 1 species